CCUACGGGUGGCAGCAGUGGGGAAUAUUGCACAAUGGGGGAAACCCUGACGCAGCGACGCCGCGUGAGGGAAGAAGUAUUUCGGAAUGUAAAGCUCUAUCAACAGGGAAGAAGAAAGACAGUACCUGUGGAAUAAGCCCCGGCUAACUACGUGCCAGCAGCCGCGGUCAUACGUAGGGGGCACGCGUUAUCCGGAUUGACUGGGUGUAAAGGGUGCGUAGACGGAGAAGCAAGUUAGAUGUGAAAGCCCGCGGCUUAACUGAGGAAUGGCAUCGGAAACUUCUUUCCUGGAGUACUGGAGAGGUAAGCGGAAUUCCUAGUGUAGCGGUGAAAUGCGUAGAUAGUAGGAGGAACACCAGUGGCGAAGGCGGCUUUCUGGACGGUAACUGACGUUGAGGCUCGAAAGUGUGGGGAGCAAACAGGAUUAGAUACCCCGGUAGUC
rnacentral:rRNA from 1 species